rnacentral:lncRNA from 1 species
AUGGGAAGCAAAAUUACAUGCAAUCCAAAUUUCCAUAGUCGUGGUAUGUUUGAGGGACGCAUACAAGAAGGUUUGUCUAGUGGUGGUAUGUCUUAAGUCUUGUAUAAUUGAAUUCAGUAUUUUUUGUAGGGUGAUAUAUACUUGCCUUGAUUCAUUGAUGGAUUAUGGAAGUUAGACAUGAUAGCAAAAUGGCCUACCAUUUAGUAGUUUUUUAUAAGGCCUAACAUUUAUGUCGAAAAUUUUCUAUGGUUCAUUGGAUGGAUUAUGGAAGUUAGACGUUAUAGCAAAAGGGUUUAUCAGUUUCCAUCUAAUGUUUUUGUUAAUUUAGUACAAGGGUGGUUGGAUGCACAUCUCAGAGGUAGCAAAUCCAGUUUUAGCUCUUACAUUAAUGGCAGCACUGCGAAUUUCCAAGAAGGAUUUAGCAUGUCAGUAGAUAAAAGGGAUUUUACCUUUACAAAGGAGCUGCAUGAGAAACUCGCACUAAAUUUCUUUCCCAUCCGAUCUUGUCUGCUGAACAGAUUGGGGAAUGUUUAUGUAUCCAAUUAAAUAAUUUGGACAAGAUUUUAAUGAUGUUUUCAUGUAAUGUGUGUGUAUGUAUGUUUUUAAGACAAAGGAAAUUUAAUACAUAUGCAGAUAAUUUAAUGCCUGGUAUUGUUUUGGAACCAUAA